CCCCUACCCAAAAAAAGCCCUCGCCAACAAAAGAAAACCCCGAUUCACAGAAAACCCUAACUACCACCAAAUCCUAGAUUUCAAAUCAAAAAGAAAAACACCCAAAUCUCUCUUUCUUUCAUCUUCCCCUCCCAACAAAAGAAAACUCUAUUUCACAGAAACCCUAACUACCAGCAAAUCCUAGAUUUCAAAACAAAAAUUAAAACCCCCAAAUCUGUGAUGGAAAAGACGAGAAGAAAUGGAAGGGUUUUAUGCUAAUUUGUGAGAUGGUUCUGGUGGGGUUUUCACGAAGAUGAAGAUUGAAGUGGUAGUUCAGAGUUAUAUCGGAUCAGGAAUGUAGGGUGUUGGUUGAAUUUGGAGAUUUUGACAGAAUCAGUGAAGGUGGUGGUGACUUCGUUGAUGAAAGGGAAAGAAGAGAUUGGUGUUUGUGAGCUGCAAAUGAAGAAUUCUAGUGUUAAGGUGGUGGUGAUUUCAUCGACAGAGAAGAUCUAAUAUGUUUGAUUAAUGAGUAUAUUUGUAAUGGGUAUGAUUGAAUUGGCUUCUGAAAUUGAUGACAUUAGUUUUCACAAACAAGUUAGAUUCGAAAUUGGAGGUGAAGAGAAGAUCAGAUGAGUUGAGAUGACGAAAAUGAAAUGAAGAUCGAGAAAGAAAGAGAUGGAACUGAAAUUAGAUAGAGAAUCAGAGAUUUGUUGGUCUUGAAAUUGAUUUGCAUCUGGUGAAAUGGAAUUAGCUGGUAGAGUUGGAUGAUACAAGAUCUGGAAUUGAUUUCACAGUACUACUACCUCUAACUGUCUGUCAUGGAGGAUGUGAAUGAAAAAGUGGCAAAUUUGGACGUGACUAACAAAAAGGAGAAAAAAACACCCAAAGUUAACUACUGGUGGUGGAAGCAGCGGCGGGGGCAGCGGUGGUGGUUGAAAAAAGGAGGUCAAAAAAGAUACUGGUCUAGGUUUAUUGUUGUUUUUCAUAGAGUUAACGAAGAUGGACUUUGAUAACAGGGGUAAGUAAUGGCUCCACCACAGCUGAAGAGUGGCCUCUUUGUAGAAUCGUAGAAUGGGAUGCUGUUGAAUUGCCUUCUCAGUUCAUGGAGAAUUGGUGUCUCCAAAGGGAUUCGUUGGUGAGCCUUGUGAAACACUAUGAAACUGGAGAGAUGCUCCCAGAAGAAGUUUACUUGAAACUUCUUGCAGCAAGGACUUUCCAUGCAGGGACACAGAGCCUUUGCUAGGUUAGCUGAUACCAUUUGCAAGUACAGAUUUGGAGCUUCAUGGUAGUUACAUUCCUGGUGGGUCAGAAUCUAUCUUUGAUAUUGAUCGAAGAGUGGGCGAGAAAACUGAGUUAUUGCACCAGUGCCAAAGGAUAGGUUUCUUUGUGGUUAUAGUCACAUCUUUGCAGAACCUUGCACCUGAAUUGUGCAGUUAGCAUCAAGAAGAAUACGAGGAGGCGGCGAUACAUGUACAUGAAUGGUGAUUGCUUUGUCAGCAAAACAUUUCUAAGAGCCGGGUUCGAUGAGAAUGCUGGAGCGAUUGACCAUGAAGUUCGUGGAUCUCUUGCGUUGCCUAUAAUCAAUCCUGAAGACCAAUCUUGUCGCGGUGUCCUUGAGCUCGUCACUGUGAAGGAGAAGCCUAAUUUGAUCCUGAGUUUGAUAAUGUUUGUCGCGCUCUUCAGAAAACUUGAUAAACUUUCCCCAGAACCAGCGCUUUCCCCGGAGGACAAACGUUGCUACAUCUGGGCAGCAAAGAAAGCCCUGCCGAGGCUGUCGUAGCAAAGAAAGCCCUGCACCUGCAGCCAAAAAGAAAGAAGAGUCCAGUGAUGAUAGCUCUGAUGAGAGUGAUUCCAAGGAUCUUAUUGUUUUAAUGCAAAAAUCUGAUUAGGUAUUUUGAUUCGAUUAAACAUGAAGUUUCUCAUAGGAUAGUCUUGAAACUUCUGAUGGACAUGUAUUUGAAAAGAGGUUUCUGAGGUUUGAAACCAAACAUCUAUAUCACUGCCAUUUUUUGAAUGUGUGUUUAACGCUGGCAGGUUAAUGUGAAAGUGAAUUAUUUUCUGAAA